rnacentral:rRNA from 1 species
GACGAACGCUGGCGGCGUGCUUAACACAUGCAAGUCGAACGGAAAGGCCCUGCUUUUGUGGGGUGCUCGAGUGGCGAACGGGUGAGUAACACGUGAGUAACCUGCCCUUGACUUUGGGAUAACUUCAGGAAACUGGGGCUAAUACCGGAUAGGAGCUCCUGCUGCAUGGUGGGGGUUGGAAAGUUUCGGCGGUUGGGGAUGGACUCGCGGCUUAUCAGCUUGUUGGUGGGGUAGUGGCUUACCAAGGCUUUGACGGGUAGCCGGCCUGAGAGGGUGACCGGCCACAUUGGGACUGAGAUACGGCCCAGACUCCUACGGGAGGCAGCAGUGGGGAAUAUUGCACAAUGGGCGGAAGCCUGAUGCAGCAACGCCGCGUGCGGGAUGACGGCCUUCGGGUUGUAAACCGCUUUCGCCUGUGACGAAGCGUGAGUGACGGUAAUGGGUAAAGAAGCACCGGCUAACUACAAG